rnacentral:rRNA from 1 species
GAUGAACGCUGGCGGCGUGCCUAAUACAUGCAAGUCGAGCGAACGGACGAGAAGCUUGCUUCUCUGAUGUUAGCGGCGGACGGGGGAGUAACACGUGGAUAACCUACCUAUAAGACUGGGAUAACUUCGGGAAACCGGAGCUAAUACCGGAUGAUAUUUUGAACCGCAUGGUUCAAAAGUGAAAGACGGUCUUGCUGUCACUUAUAGAUGGAUCCGCGCUGCAUUAGCUAGUUGGUAAGGUAACGGCUUACCAAGGCAACGAUGCAUAGCCGACCUGAGAGGGUGAUCAGCCACACUGGAACUGAGACACGGUCCAGACUCCUACGGGAGGCAGCGGUAGGGAAUCUUCCGCAAUGGGCGAAAGCCUGACGGAGCAACGCCGCGUGAGUGAUGAAGGUCUUCGGAUCGUAAAACUCUGUUAUUAGGGAAGAACAUAUGUGUAAGUAACUGUGCACAUCUUGACGGUACCUAAUCAGAAAGCCACGGCUAACUACGUG